UACGAAGGGGGCGAGCGUUAAUCGGAAUUACUGGGCGUAAAGCGUGCGUAGGCGGUUCCUCAAGUCCGUUGUGAAAGCCCCGGGCUCAACCUGGGAAUGGCAGUGGAAACUAGGGGACUGGAAUCUGGCAGAGGGGGGUGGAAUGCCGCGUGUAGCAGUGAAAUGCGUAGAGAUGCGGCGGAACACCGAUGGCGAAGGCAGCCCCCUGGGCUGAGAUUGACGCUCAGGCACGAAAGCGUGGGGAGCAAACAGG
rnacentral:rRNA from 1 species